GUCAAGUUUAUAAGGGCACAGGGUGGAUGCCUUGGCACUAGGAGCCGAAGAAGGACGUGGUAGCCUGCGAUAAGCCUCGGGGAGUUGGCAAACGAACCGUGAUCCGAGGAUGUCCGAAUGGGGAAACCCCGCACGAGUCAUGUCGUGUGACCCGCACCUGAAUAUAUAGGGUGUGUGGAGGGAACGGCGGGAAGUGAAAC
rnacentral:rRNA from 14 species